UACGUAGGGUGCUAGCGUUGUCCGGAAUCAUUGGGCGUAAAGCGCGCGUAGGCGGCCAGAUAAGUCCGGUGUGAAAGUCAAAGGCUCAACCUUUGAAUGCCGCUGGAAACUGUCUGGCUUGAGUCCGGAAGGGGCGAGUGGAAUUCCUGGUGUAGCGGUGAAAUGCGCAGAUAUCAGGAGGAACACCGGUGGCGAAGGCGGGUCUCUGGGCGGUAACUGACGCUGAGGAGCGAAAGCCAGGGGAGCGAACAGG
rnacentral:rRNA from 1 species